rnacentral:lncRNA from 1 species
CAGCUCUCUAGGAAAGAAGAUCUUAUUCGCGGCUAGUAAUUAUGACUGGUGCCUAGUGCCUGGUGGCUUUACACUGAGAGCAGCGUGACUACAGUGUAGAAUAUCGUAAAAGGAGAGGAUAAUUCAAGAUACUGCAUGAGACGGAUGCAAUGGAGUGAAACAGUGGAGGAAAAUGCCAUUGGACGCUGGGAAGAGAAACUUCCUGGCAGAACCCUUGAGCCACAAUGCCACUUGGACGGGAUUUAUGGACAGCUUUUCAAAACAAGCAUUCGAAACAUGAAUGUGCAUCCAGAGGCAGCUUGGGCAAAGAAUGCCAUUUUUGUUCUUCUUUUUUGCUUACCAGUUAAACACAAACAUUUGAAUAAAUGAAUAAUUUGGCAUCCAUGUGAACGUUUCAUACGCUACACACACUUUUUGCUUUCUAAAUAGUCACACAAUUUCUUCCUAGAUUUUGAAAGAUGCCAUUUUGAGAAAGAAAAAAAUACAAUAUAAUGUUUCAAAAGUUGUGAAAGAAAUGGUUAAUGUUUCUGCCAGUUCUCAGUCAGCAACUGGGUAUUCGAAAAAAUCAUAUUCUCAGAUACGAGCAAAGAUAUACAACUACAUGUUCCUAAACUGGGC